UGCGUAGGUGGGUUGGUAAGUCAGUGGUGAAAUCCCCGAGCUUAACUUGGGAACUGCCAUUGAUACUAUCAGUCUUGAAUAUUGUGGAGGUUAGCGGAAUAUGUCAUGUAGCGGUGAAAUGCUUAGAUAUGACAUAGAACACCAAUUGCGAAGGCAGCUGGCUACGCAUAUAUUGACACUGAGGCACGAAAGCGUGGGGAUCAAACAGGAUUAGAUACCCUGGUAGUCCACGCCCUAAACUAUGGAUACUCGACAUCAGCGAUACACUGUUGGUGUCUGAGCGAAAGCAUUAAGUAUCCCACCUGGGAAGUACGAUCGCAAGAUUGAA
rnacentral:rRNA from 1 species